UCUUUCCAAGGAGCCGCUGAAGGCGCCGUUGCCUAGCAACGCAAAGUUCUCCUAGUCCUCGUCGUCCGUUGAGAACUUUCGGUGACUUUUUUUAAUCAAUUAAAAUGUCCAAAAAGAAGACAAAUAAAAUCGGCGAAAUACAUACAGAAAGCAAUAAAACACCCAAGAAAGAGGGUCACGUGACUCCCGCCGUUCAAACCAAGCCUGCGGACAAAGAAAGGAUUUAUUUUUGCCUCAAAUCACAUUUCUGACCGAUACCUUGGAGAGAUUUCAGCUGAAAUAUGAUCGACUGGAGAAGGACAAGAACUACAUCAUUGAGCAUCUGAAGCGCUCCCUGCUGGAGGAGAAGGAGCAGGUGAAGGCGCUGUCGGAGCGGGUGGAGCUUCAGCAGGAGGCUGCAGGUCGCGACAGACGCUCAGCAGCAGCAGCUGCUGCUGCUGAGAAACUCUGCUGAGAAACUCCUCCUGUGCGUCAGAGGAAGCUGAUGGGACUGAAAGGAGAAGCAAACCGUCUACUGAAUCUGCCAUGAGAACAGCUGGGCUUCUGUUAAGAGCCAUCACCUCCUGAGGAACCCUGAGGGCCUCACAACAGUCUCCUGUUAGAGGAGGUUCUGGUCCAAAUCUGUCAGAAGAGGCAGGGCAGAGUAUCCAGACUAAAGUACCACAGCAGAGAUCAGGUGUGAUCUUUGAGCCCUCUACUACUUUCUAAAAAUCAACUCCAUCCAUCCAUCCAUCCAUCCCCAGACCCCACGAACCCCCGUCGGGGUCACAGGGUUGCUGGAGCCUAUCCCAGCUACUGUGUUGGGUGAAGGCAGGGUCCGGCCUGAGCAGAUGUCCAGACUGUUGCAGGGACACACACUCACAUGCACACCUGGAGACAAUGGAGAGCCAUCAGUGAACCUCUGAAGAACGUUUUGGGACUGUGGGAGGAAACUCACGCAUGCACAAACCCAGCUGGGAUUCAAACCAGGUCCUUCCAGCUGUGAGGCUGGGGUUGCAACCACUAUACCACCAUGCACAACUAAAAGUCUACUAUUUUGAUGUUUUACUGCUUCACAAUAAAAUAAUUGUAAUUUC